rnacentral:rRNA from 1 species
UUGUUCGCAAUGGGCGCAAGCCUGACGACGCAAUGCCGCGUGGAGGAUGAAGGUCUUCGGAUUGUAAACUCCUGUUGCCAGGGACGAAUGGCUCCGACCUAAUACGUCGGAGUAUGACGGUACCUGGUGAGGAAGCCCCGGCUAACUCUGUGCCAGCAGCCGCGGUAAUACAGAGGGGGCAAGCGUUGUUCGGAAUUACUGGGCGUAAAGGGCGCGUAGGCGGCCUUCUAAGUCGAACGUGAAAUCCCCGGGCUCAACCCGGGAACUGCGUCCGAUACUGGGGGGCUUGAAUCCGGGAGAGGGAUGUGGAAUUCCAGGUGUAGCGGUGAAAUGCGUAGAUAUCUGGAGGAACACCGGUGGCGAAGGCGGCAUCCUGGACCGGUAUUGACGCUGAGGCGCGAAAGCCAGGGGAGCAAACGG